UCUUGGUCAUUUAGAGGAAGUAAAAGUCGUAACAAGGUCUCCGUAGGUGAACCUGCGGAGGGAUCAUUACAAGAACGCCCGGGCUUCGGCCUGGUUAUUCAUAACCCUUUGUUGUCCGACUCUGUUGCCUCCGGGGCGACCCUGCCUUCGGGCGGGGGCUCCGGGUGGACACUUCAAACUCUUGCGUAACUUUGCAGUCUGAGUAAACUUAAUUAAUAAAUUAAAACUUUUAACAACGGAUCUCUUGGUUCUGGCAUCGAUGAAGAACGCAGCGAAAUGCGAUAAGUAAUGUGAAUUGCAGAAUUCAGUGAAUCAUCGAAUCUUUGAACGCACAUUGCGCCCCCUGGUAUUCCGGGGGGCAUGCCUGUUCGAGCGUCAUUUCACCACUCAAGCCUCGCUUGGUAUUGGGCAACGCGGUCCGCCGCGUGCCUCAAAUCGUCCGGCUGGGUCUUCUGUCCCCUAAGCGUUGUGGAAACUAUUCGCUAAAGGGUGUUCGGGAGGCUACGCCGUAAAACAACCCCAUUUCUAAGGUUGACCUCGGAUCAGGUAGGGAUACCCGCUGAACUUAAGCAUAUCAAUAAGCGGAGGAAAAGAAACCAACAGGGAUUGCCCCAGUAACGGC
rnacentral:rRNA from 1 species